UACGGGGGGGAGCAAGCGUUGUUCGGAUUUACUGGGCGUAAAGGGCGCGUAGGCGGUCGUGACAAGUCACUUGUGAAAUCUCCGGGCUUAACUCGGAAAGGUCAACUGAUACUGUGCGACUAGAGUGCGGAAGGGGCAACUGGAAUUCUUGGUGUAGCGGUGAAAUGCGUAGAUAUCAAGAGGAACACCUGCGGCGAAGGCGGGUCUCUGGGCAGUAACUGACGCUGAGGAGCGAAAGCGUGGGGAGCGAACAGGAUUAGACUAC
rnacentral:rRNA from 1 species